AAACAAGCUUCGCGAACCAUGCCUAACCAUGGUUCUGUCAAUUCAAUACAUUCAUACUCUUAUUGUUUUCCCUAAUAAUAUUACGGUACGAUUUACGAGCGAAUGCAUUAAAAACAGUUGGCGAUGAUGAACAGAAUAAAGACAUAGAUAAAACACGUCAAAAGAAGAAAAUUAAGUAUAAAAUAAUGCUAACAGAAAGAAUACUAUGCAGUGAAGGCAGACUUAUUACCAAUAAGCUAUUAAAAUUGACUGAGCAUCAGGAAAAUGACGUGUUUGGCGAUGCCGCCGUUCCUCGUUGCUUUCGACAGAUGGCGAGCUAUUUUGGAACGACGACGUUCUUACGGAAUUGUAACGGCGUUAUAAAUGUUUUUUUCGGCGAAGAAUGAUUUGAAAGUUGUAAUGUAAACUAACAUUUCAUGGAGAUUUAGAUCAUUCGAAAGAAUGCGCUUACAAGUUUUAUUAAAAAGUAAAUCUUACAAUAAAUAUUCUGAACAACUGAGAAAUUAUUUUCAUAAUAAUAUAUUUAUUAUAGGUA